AAAUCUACAAAGGGGAGCUUUUUAGCUGAGAGUGAUUAAGUUCAGACCCUUGAACCUGUUGUGUUAGUGCACGCGUAGGAAUUGUAGCUUUAGGGCCU
rnacentral:ncRNA from 2 species